ensembl:snRNA U6 U6 spliceosomal RNA
GUGCUCACUUUGGCAGCACAUAUACUAAAAUUGGAACGAUAUAGAGAAGAUGAGCAUGGCCCCUGCACAAAAUAAAAACAACAAAAUGCUCAGAUUAUU